rnacentral:rRNA from 1 species
GACGAACGCUGGCGGCGUGCUUAACACAUGCAAGUCGAACGGACAGGCCCUGCUUUUGUGGGGUGCUCGAGUGGCGAACGGGUGAGUAACACGUGAGUAUCCUGCCCUUGACUUUGGGAUAACUUCAGGAAACUGGGGCUAAUACCGGAUAGGAGCUCCUGCUGCAUGGUGGGGGUUGGAAAGUUUCGGCGGUUGGGGAUGGACUCGCGGCUUAUCAGCUUGUUGGUGGGGUAGUGGCUUACCAAGGCUUUGACGGGUAGCCGGCCUGGGAGGGUGACCGGCCACAUGGGGACUGAGAUACGGCCCAGACUCCUACGGGAGGCAGCAGUGGGGAAUAUUGCGCAAUGGGCGGAAGCCUGAUGCAGCAACGCCGCGUGCGGGAUGACGGCCUUCGGGUUGUAAACCGCUUUCGCCUGUGACGAAGCGUGAGUGACGGUAAUGGGUAAAGAAGCACCGGCUAACUACGUG